UUUUAAGAAGGUGUCUAGGGAUG
rnacentral:piRNA from 1 species